CGGGACAGCCGCUGGUCAAGCAGUUAGUGUGUAGGGAAAAAUAUAUCUGGGGUUAUGCUCCGCUGGAAGCUUGUACUGAGGAUGUUGGUAGACGACAAAUAGAAUGGCUUGUAAAACAGAACCUGCAGGAAGCUUCUCUGCUAUUUACGCUGUGUCAUAAGGCAAAUUGCACUGCUAUUAACUGGAAAAUCUGGUCUAGCAUACAUGAGGUGCAUUUAGAGUGACAGUUCUGUACCUUGAUCUACACUUAAUGGAACCACUGUGAAUGGAGCAUCUGGUAGAACAAGUUUUCAUGUAAGGACAUGUAAGGACAUAUGAAGAAGAAAUGACAUCCUCUGAUGGCAAACUCAUGCAUGCUUUAUCACGGGCACCUGAUGAAGGAAGUGCUUUCCUGUAGCUCCUGUUUCACAGGUGUAGUGCUGCAUACUUGCUGCCUUUUUAGCAACCAGCUCUCCCAAGCCUGAGGAUACUUUACAAGGAACUCCCAAAGGAGUCUUACAACCACCUCUGCGUAGUGGGAGGAUCCCUUUGGAGCACAUAACCCAAACCCAGGCACAGAAGUCUGAAGGGGACUUUCCUACCAGUUAGAGAACCCAUUGCCCAGUAGGGCCUUAUCCAGUUUUCCCAUUUGCCAUUCAGCUGUUUUUGGAUGUGUGGCCACACACCUACUCCUUCAUCUGUCAGUGCAGAUAGUCUUCAAGGUAUUCAUAAUCUCUGCUAAAAGAGAAUGGAAUAUUGAAGCCCUUGGGAGAUUGUCCUUACUGCACCACAGCAAACAGGAGCUAAGAUAAGGGCUGAGAUGGGAUGCAAGUCAGGAGCACAGAACUGCUCUCCAAAAUACAGGCACUUGGCCUGGAAACUCAGGCUUUGUGGUAUUUCUGAAGAAUUUCUACACCUCUGGAGAUCUGCAGCAGUGCUGUCUGGAGUGUCAUCCAUCCUCCUGCAAAAUCUGUCCAUCCAAGCAUACAGAAGCACUUAGCAAAGCCUUGCUGCUCUUUGUGUUCUUAAAAUAAACAAAUCAAUAGAGAACUCUAAGUAACAUAUCUGAUAGUUGUUGGAGAGGGUAAAGCAGAACACCAUUUGGCAAAAUCUUUCAUGACAUCAUGUUAACAACAGGCAGAUUGACAAUCUGUCCUCCUCUGCAUGGAGUCUCAUUAAUAAAUC